rnacentral:rRNA from 1 species
UCGUAACAAGGUUUCCGUAGGUGAACCUGCGGAAGGAUCAUUAACGAAUAUCUAUGGCGUUGGUUGUAGCUGGCUCCUAGGAGCAUUUUGUGCACGCCCGUCAUUCAUAUCUUUCCACCUGUGAACUAUGUGUAGGCCUGGAUACCUCUCGCUUUGGCAACAAAGCGGAUGCAAGGAUUGCUGCGUCAACAAGACCAGCUCUCUUUGAAUUUCCAGGUUCUAUGUCUUUUACACACCCCAAUUGAAUGAUGUAGAAUGUAGUCAAUGGGCUUUCAUGCCUAUAAAACACUAUACAACUUUCAGCAACGGAUCUCUUGGCUCUCGCAUCGAUGAAGAACGCAGCGAAAUGCGAUAAGUAAUGUGAAUUGCAGAAUUCAGUGAAUCAUCGAAUCUUUGAACGCACCUUGCGCUCCUUGGUAUUCCGAGGAGCAUGCCUGUUUGAGUGUCAUUAAAUUCUCAACCUCACCAGUUUUGUAACGAGACCGGUGAAGGCUUGGAUGUGGGGGUUUUGCAGGCUGCCUCAGUGCUGGUCUGCUCCCCUGAAAUGCAUUAGCGAGCUCAUACUGAGCUUCCGUCUAUUGGUGUGAUAAUUAUCUAUGCCGUGGAUUGGACUCAUUCUUGCUUCUAACCGUCCGCAAGGACAAAUUACUUGACCAA